GGAGGAAAAGAAACCAACAGGGAUUGCCCUAGUAACGGCGAGUGAAGCGGCAACAGCUCAAAUUUGAAAUCUGGCUUCGGCCCGAGUUGUAAUUUGCAGAGGAUGUUUCUGGCGCGGUGCCUUCCGAGUUCCCUGGAACGGGACGCCAAAGAGGGUGAGAGCCCCGUAUGGUUGGACACCAAGCCUGUGUGAAACUCCUUCAACGAGUCGAGUAGUUUGGGAAUGCUGCUCUAAAUGGGAGGUAAAUCUCUUCUAAAGCUAAAUACCGGCCAGAGACCGAUAGCGCACAAGUAGAGUGAUCGAAAGAUGAAAAGCACCUUGAAAAGGGGGUUAAAUAGUACGUGAAAUUGUUGAAAGGGAAGCACUUAUGACCAGACUUGGGCCGGGCGGCUCAUCAGGGGUUCUCCCCUGUGCACUCCGCCCGGCACAGGCCAGCAUCGGUUUUCGCGGGGGGAUAAGACCGUCAGGAACGUAGCACCUCUCGGGGUGUGUUAUAGCCUGGCGGACGAUACCCUCGCGGGGACCGAGGUUCGCGCUCCGCAAGGAUGCUGGCGUAAUGGUCAUCAGUGACCCGUCUUGAAACACGGACC
rnacentral:rRNA from 1 species